rnacentral:piRNA from 1 species
ACUUCCCUCAGUGAUGGACUGUUAGC